CGAACGAUGAACCACUUCGGUGGGGAUUAGUGGCGAACGGGUGAGUAACACGUGGGCAAUCUGCCCUUCACUCUGGGACAAGCCCUGGAAACGGGGUCUAAUACCGGAUAACACUCCCUCCCUCCUGGGUGGGGGUUAAAAGCUCCGGCGGUGAAGGAUGAGCCCGCGGCCUAUCAGCUUGUUGGUGAGGUAAUGGCUCACCAAGGCGACGACGGGUAGCCGGCCUGAGAGGGCGACCGGCCACACUGGGACUGAGACACGGCCCAGACUCCUACGGGAGGCAGCAGUGGGGAAUAUUGCACAAUGGGCGAAAGCCUGAUGCAGCGACGCCGCGUGAGGGAUGACGGCCUUCGGGUUGUAAACCUCUUUCAGCAGGGAAGAAGCGAAAGUGACGGUACCUGCAGAAGAAGCGCCGGCUAACUACGUGCCAGCAGCCGCGGUAAUACGUAGGGCGCAAGCGUUGUCCGGAAUUAUUGGGCGUAAAGAGCUCGUAGGCGGCUUGUCACGUCGGGUGUGAAAGCCCGGGGCUUAACCCCGGGUCUGCAUUCGAUACGGGCUAGCUAGAGUGUGGUAGGGGAGAUCGGAAUUCCUGGUGUAGCGGUGAAAUGCGCAGAUAUCAGGAGGAACACCGGUGGCGAAGGCGGAUCUCUGGGCCAUUACUGACGCUGAGGAGCGAAAGCGUGGGGAGCGAACAGGAUUAGAUACCCUGGUAGUCCACGCCGUAAACGGUGGGAACUAGGUGUUGGCGACAUUCCACGUCGUCGGUGCCGCAGCUAACGCAUUAAGUUCCCCGCCUGGGG
rnacentral:rRNA from 1 species